GCCUGAUGGUGGAGUCCGCCACUGAGGAGGGACCCAGCUGACCUUCCCGAAUGUGUCUGGAACCCAGAGUCACUGCAGAGCCCACGGACCCAGAGGGGAUGGGCUGGGUACUAAGUGGGCCCUGGGAUGUGACCCACCAUUAGCUUAUUAAAAUUGAACUAUUUACAUUACUUUUGACAUAGAUGGGGCAUAAAUAAGACAUUCAUAGCACACAAAAGGUUUUUUUAAACGUUAUUUUUUAUAUACCUUCAAUACAGGAUAUCUUGUUUGAUUUCACAGAUGAGACCGAAAUAGUGAUCCCUUAAAAUGAUAUUGCUGGAACGACAGGGAAGAUGGCAGAGUAGGAAGCACAAGGUGUUUCUCUACCUGGACAACAACUGCACUGGCAGAAGCUGUCUAAUGUAACUAGUAUGGAACUCUGGAGUCUACUGAAGGCUUGUAACAUCCAGGGAAAGGCUUGGACAGUAGAGCGAGCAAGGUACCAGCCAGCCAUCACCCACCCGCAGCCCCCACAGCAGGUUGGGAUGCAGCCUCACUCCUUGUUCCUUGAGCAGCAAGCUCACAGCUUGCAGGAGCCAGAGUGGGCAUACAAGCCCUGUCCUCCAAAUCUCAGGGAUCUGUGUUCUGAUUGCUGAUUCCUGCUUCUGAUCAUGGAGGUGCAGACAGAGGAGAGCAGCCAUGUUGCAAUUCUAACCACUAUCAUUGCAAACCCCACCCCCUCCAUGUAAAGAGACUUCUAGGAGAUUUCAAGGGCCAGUGCCUGUUUAUUAUUUUCUUCAUUUUUCCCUAUUUUCCCCUUUUGGAUCACAGAUAUUUAAGGACUAGGACAUUGGAAAGCAAUCAUACACACAGGAGAAUUUGAAAAGUUACCAUGAGUGACCAGGAAAAGGUGCAAGAUCAGAAGAGACCUCAGAAGACUUUAAAUUCACACCUCAGGCUGAUUCCUGACAGAGAGAAACCCUACAACAAGGAGAAUUAAACCUCAGCAAACCCUGAGAAAGGGAAGAAUCUGAGUCUUGGAGUUACCACCUUAUAAUAUUCAAAUGUCAAGUUUUCAAUAAAAUAAUCACAAGGCGUACAAAGAAAGGAAAGUAUUUAUAUUGAACCUGCAGUGAGUUUGCUCACCGGUUGUGCAGCAAGCCAAUCUCAGACACUGGGUGUUGUGGAAGAAAGCAGGAAUUUUAUUAUUGCACAGCACUGAGCAAAGAGAGAGGGCAGCUAAUGCUGAAAUCCCAAACUCCCCAAAAACCUAAAAGGAAGGGUUUUUAUUUGGGGUUUUAGGUAGGGGAGGGGGAGCAUAUGGCCUUGCUGGUUGGAGCUUUCCCAGCAGCCUGUCUUUGGCCUUGAGACACUUGCAGAGAGGAGGGAGCCUGUGACCUUGCUGGUCAGCAGCUUUCCCAACAGCCUAUAUCUCUUUGUGGGGAGAAGGAGGAGGAGAUAAUGAAUCCAGGUGGUUAUCCUUGGCUGUGUCUGUCUCCAUGGAGGAUAGUGAAUUCUGGAGCCAGAAAGCCAGGGAGUAAGCAGGGAAAGAGUGUUUUGGUUUUAACUCCAUAUAUGCUGGGUUUAAUGUAGGGGAACUGAUAUUAGGGUCAGUAUCAGUAUGGCCAAUUAAUGGAAAAUUAAUUGAAAAAUUAAUGGAAAUUAAUUAAUGGAAAAAAAUAAAUCAAGAGAAACCAUCCCUGAGAAAGACCAGAGGGUGAACUUACUAGCCAAAGCCUUUAAAACAGCUAUCUCAAAGAUCCCAAAGUGCUAAAAGAAGAUGCAAAGUCAAGGAAGCAAUGUAUGAACACAAAUGGAAAUAUCAGUAAAGAGACAGAAAACAUGAAAAGGAACCAAAAAGACAUUCAGGAGAUGAAAAGGACAAUAACUGAAAUGGAAAAUUCUCUAGAGGAUUUAAAAGCAGAUUUGAGCAGGCAGAAGAAAGAAUCAUUGAAUUUUAGGAUAGGACAAUUGAAAUAAUCAAGGCCAAGGAGCAGAAAGAAAAAAAGAUUGAAGAAAAGUAGUGAACAGAGCCGGGUGACCCACGGACACCUUCAAGUGGACCAACAGACGCACUGUGGGAGUCCCAGAAGGAGAAGAGAGCAGGAAAGGGCAGAGAGGUUACUUGAAGAAAAAAAUGGUUGAAAACCUUCCAAAAUUGAUGAAAGACAUGAAUAUAAACAUUAGAGAAGCUCAAUAAACUUCAAGUAGGAAAAGUGGAAGAGAACCAAGACACUUUACAACCAAACUAUCGAAAGCCAGAGACAAAGACAGAUUAUUGUAAGUAGCAUGAGAGAAAUAACUUGUUCCAUAACAGGGUCCUCAAUAAGAUUUCAAGCAGAUUUCUCAUCAGAAACCUUGCAGGCAGAAGGUAAUGGAUUGAUAUAGUCAAAGUGCUGAAGGGAAAAAACUGUCAACCAAGAAUCCUAUAUCUGGCAAAGCUGUGCUUUAUAGGUGGGAAAUUAAGACACUCACAAUUAAAAUCUGAGGGAUUUUGUUUCCUCUAGACCUGCCCUGAAAGAAAUGAUAAGGGAAUCCUUCCGGUUGAAAUGAAAAUACACUAGACAGUAACAUGAAGAUGUGAAGAAAUAAAGAUGUCUGGUAAAAGACUCAUCACAAGGCAAACAAUAUGCCUGACCCGCCACUCACCAAGUGUGACUAUGGGUAAAACAUUCACCUGCUUGAACCUCAGGCUCCUCAUCUGUAAAACGAUUUUAUAACUGUUUGUAAUGUCGACUGAUCCAAUAAGGACAAGUGAGAAAUCUGUUCCUUAUUAAAAUGUCAGGUAACCUUGAAGCAAUGUCCCACACUCUGUGCGGCUGAACGGGAUCCACACAGAACUUGGGGCAUCAGGGGAGGCCGCUUGUCUCUACACAACUCAGGUGUUCAUUACCAGACGUGAGGCCAGCCAGCCUCCUGCACCGCUGUAGUGAAGGAAAAUCCCAGCCUGGCUCUUCUGGAGUUAUCGGGCGGCUUUUCCCUCUCGUUUUCUCUGGGACCUCACAACACUGAUUAUUAGUGUCACCCCCGGAUCCUUCUCCUGUCUCUCUGCUCACACAUUAAUAGAAGGCUCUCGAUAGGUUCAGGUCUCUCCAGUCCUUCAAAAAUGACCACAGGACCCUACAAUUCACCUACUGUUCUCCCUCUCAAUGCACAACAAACUCUGUCUGUUUCCAAACUGGACUAAGUGUUUAUAUACAAAGGUGGAACCGGGUGGUCUGAGACAUGGUGAUACGGAGAAUUUUUGUGCGCGUUUUAUGUGUACAAUUUGGUGAGUUUGGACAUACGCAUAUGCCCAUGAUACUAUCACCACAAACAAGGUAAUAAA
rnacentral:lncRNA from 1 species